GAAACCUGCCACCUCAGCAGAGGGCCCCGAACCUCUUCCACCGUCCGACACACGGCACAGAACCGCCCGCCGGCGGGGCUGCAGCGAGAGACACGGGGACGGGCCAGGACGCUGCUUGUGGGAGCGGGACAGCACGUUCCCAGGAGCCUCCACGGCCUCAGCAGCGCCUGCCCGCCCGCCCUGCUUCUAGAACAGGCGCGGACACAGCCCCGUGAGACCCAUCACGAUGCACACGCCAGGCUUUCCUCACGCCAGGAACAGGGGCACUUCCACAGACGCCCGGGGUGCCAGCCGCAGCUUCUCCGUGUACAGCUCACCAGACGCCAGUGGGUUUUACGUGAAGAGGCGGGAAGGAAGAAAACUGACAAACACAAACACACAGUAGUCACGGAGACCGUGUGUUCCGUCCAGCUCUGUCCCGAAAGUCUGCCGGCCUCUCGAAUGCAGCAGAUGGACAGCUGGAGCCCCGCCCACCUCGUGGGCACGGUCAGCUCCUUCCGGCUGGAGGGGCUGUGGGUGCGGGGCGUGUCUGGGAUCCCGUGCAGCCCUGUCCUCCUGCAUAUGACAGCCUCGGCGUGGCACCGUGUCUGCAGAGAGCGGGCAGGUGUAUGCGUCCAGCUGGCUGCGGGUGGCUCGGGAGAUCAGGCAGCCUCAAGCUGGGGCGUGGGCAGCACGAGGCCGGGCCAGGCAGCUGCCACAUCCCCUCUCGGGUGUCUCCACACCCGGGGAGCGGCUCUCCCUACACUCCCGCUCCCGAUGGGCUCACUAACGAGGUCCUGCAGACGUGAGCACUCCUGGCGAGACGCACGGCUUCCUCGCACUCCUAGACGAGCUUAGGAGACCACGGGCAGCAGGGAGAACGGAACCAGACUCACCGUGUGCCCUCAGCCUCCAUCCGACAAGCACAGGCUGAGAACCGGACAUGCUAGGGCCACGUGACGGCCGCGUGGGGCCUGCGGUGCUGCCUGUCCAAACGACGGUCACAGCCACCUUGCGGGCUCACGGCCUCUGCCUUCUCUACACGGGCCCCUUUCUUCUGUGUCCUCCUAGGACACCACUGCAGGGCCAGGUGCCCCUGGGUCUGGGAGUCCGGUUUCAAUUGAAAGCCGCCCUGCCUUCCAAGCACCUGCAGUCUGGUGGGGGCACCAACACGCAGCCCCCAGACUCGGCUGUGGAGCCCGAGCGUCCGUGGGAGAAGGGACCCACGUGCCGUGGCCAGUCCACAUGGCGGGACCUCCGGAGCCACAGCCUGACACACAGGACAGUGAGGGCGCAUCUGGGCCAGCCAACAGAGGCCCGCUGAGGCGGCAAACCCAGAGGACAGAGCGGUGGCUGCGUGGGACAGCAGGGAACUUGCACUGUGGGGGCAGAAUGUGGAAAGUGGAGCAUCUGACUCCACUCUGUCAAUAAACCCGACUUUGAAAUAAGCAGCCCCUAUGGGGAGGCCUUCCCAAGGGGAGCGGGGUGGCGGCUGAGGAGAGGCCGGACCCUGGGCCGCUCUGGGGGACAGUGGGGAGGGGCCCUCCAGACAAGCGUGGUCCUGGGAGCCGGGGAGGGACCCGGCUCGGUGCUCCGUCUCUUCCUGGUCACCCUGUCUGUGCUCCGGGCCCAAACCGCCUCAGCAAGCCUCCUGCCUCUCCCAGGAGUGACCAGGGGCCCUGACCCGGCCUCCUCCUCCUCCUCCUCCUCCUCCUCCUCCUCCUUGGGCGGCCUUGGGCUCAGGGUCAGAUCCCUGAUGGCAGACAGCCCCCACCUGCUGGGAGCCCCGCUCGCAGCACACGCGGCCCCUUCAGGGCACACUUCUGUAUCUUCAGGAGAGACGUGCGCGCAUUCCAGGCCUGCCGGGCCCACUGUGGCAGCCGGGAGGGGGCACCGAGGACCCGGGCUGGUCUGACAUCUCAGACACAGCCUGGGGGAAACGGGGACCUGGAGUCUGCACCGAAGAAAGACAGUAAAGGAGCCUCACUGAGGGGAGAUCAGUGUGAACAGCGCACCUGGGGAACAUGUGACACGAACGCACCCGUGAAACCCACACCACAGUCCCUGUUGUGAGUGCAUCUCUUCCCCGGGGCAGCCGCAUCCGUGCCCGGUCACCACAGGUUACUCUGUAUCUCCUACUUGGAUGUACACGGGAUCGCACACGGUGCGAACUCCUGUUGUCAGGCUUCUUCCACUCGGCGCCGUGAGUCAUUCCCGCUGUGAGUCACUGAUAGUUCACGCCCUUUUCCUGCCGCGUGGCACUCCUCGUGUGGCUCUACCACCGUGGCGUUUUCCAUUUACCUGCUCAUGGACAAGUGUGCUGUUUCCAGGGUGUGGUGUUCCCAACAGAGCUGCUGCACAUCGUCUGCAGGGACGCCUGUGCAGGUGUCUGCGGGGACGUGUACAUUUUGUUCCCGGGGACAAAUGCCUAGGAAUGGCAUGGCUGGAUCACACGGUAGGUACCCGUUUCAUUUCUGAAGCCACUCCCAAACUGCUUUCCAAAGUGUAUGCCGUUUUGUGCCCCUGCUACAGUGUAUGUGGGUUCCCCUUUCUCCCCAUCUACCCACACUUGGUGUGGUCUUGCUCAUUUCAGCAUGUUACGGGGUGUGCAGGGACCCCUCACUGUGGCUGUCAUUCACAUUGCUAUUAUUUCACUCCAGUUACAUAACAUACGGUGUAAUAUUACAUUCAGGUGUACAAUGUGGUGAGAUUCAGCACUUCCAUAACAACACCCGGAGUUCAUCACACAUGCCCUCCUUAAUCCCCAUCACCCAUCUAGCCCAGUCCCUACCCACCUCCCCUCUGGUAACCAUGUUUGUUCUCUAUAGUUAAGAGCCUGUUUCUUGGUUUG